rnacentral:rRNA from 1 species
AGUGAACGCUGGCGGCAGGCCUAACACAUGCAAGUCGAACGGUAGCACAGAGGAGCUUGCUCCUUGGGUGACGAGUGGCGGACGGGUGAGGAAUACAUCGGAAUCUACCCUGUCGUGGGGGAUAACGUAGGGAAACUUACGCUAAUACCGCAUACGAACUGAGGUUGAAAGCAGGGGACCGCAAGGCCUUGCGCGAUUGGAUGAGCCGAUGUCCGAUUAGCUAGUUGGUAAGGUAAAGGCCUACCAAGGCGACGAUCGGUAGCUGGUCUGAGAGGAUGAUCGGCAAAACUGGAACUGAGACACGGUCCAGACUCCUACGGGAGGCAGCAGUGGGGAAUAUUGGACAAUGGGCGCAAGCCUGAUCCAGCCAUGCCGCGUGUGUGAAGAAGGCCUUCGGGUUGUAAAGCGCUUUUGUUGGGAAAGAAAAGCGGUCGGUUAAUACCCGGUCGUACUGACGGUACCCAAAGAAUAAGCACCGGCUAACUUCGUGCCAGCAGCCGCAGUAACAC